UACGGAGGGUGCGAGCGUUGUCCGGAAUCACUGGGCGUAAAGGGCGCGUAGGUGGCGCGGGAAGUCAACGGUGAAAGUUCAGGGCUCAACCCUGAAUCGGCCGUCGAUACUCCCGGGCUCGAGCACUGUAGAGGCAGGUGGAAUUCCGGGUGUAGCGGUGGAAUGCGUAGAGAUCCGGAAGAACACCGGUGGUGAAGGCGGCCUGCUGGGCAGUUGCUGACACUGAUGCGCGACAGCGUGGGGAGCAAACAGG
rnacentral:rRNA from 1 species